UUAUUGUUUAAUUUCGCUUUGUAAACUUUUCAAUGUGUCAUUUGGUUUGGCCUUGUAGCCACCAAGUCGAUAUGAAGUUGAUCUGAAGGAUGCCGGUGUAGUGUUAGCUUCAGUUCACCUUCAUAUCGACUCAGGCGCUACAUGGCCUAACCAAAUGACACAUUGAAAAGCACACAAAGCGAAAUUAAACAAUUA